GCAAUCCCUACAAGGGCAGCUCUUGGGGCACAGAUCAGGGGUGAAAUGGAGACAAGAUCUGGAUGGGCAAAGGAAGGAGAUCCAGCUCACGUUUCAAGGCCAACUCCUCCCCAAGUGCACGACAAUCCCUCCCAUUGAAGGCGCCAAGAAGGAACUCACUGUCAUCGCCGAGACCAGAGUCAGCGGGUGAAGGCAGCGACCAGUUCUGGAACCACAUUCAGUCCCACACCCAAGCAGCUGAGCGAAACUCUUCCUCCUCCACGAGGCCUCUCCCAGCCCUUCAGUUCAUGACGCCUUGGUGAGAGAGGAGGAUCAAAUCAGGCAGGAAUGCAACCACAUCAGUCACCUGGAAGGAACGCAGGCAUCCGCAGAGGAGGGGGUGAGGUGUGGAGUCUCUGCCCGAACAUCGGUUAAGUGGUCUUGACAGAGAAGGCAGAAAAACCUUCCCUGCUGGAGUGUUAAAAGGUGACAACGCCCCAACCCUGUUUCUAACCUGCAUCAUUCCCCCACUUCCUUAGAGCCAUGUGCUCAGAAAGCAGGUCCAGGUGCCCUUGCAGGAGCCUCCUGUCCCUUUGUUCCAGCAGGUGUCUGUGAGUCUGUGUGCACGCCCUUGGGGGCUUAUGGGACCUAUAAGAACAGAUGAUUCUUCCCGUCUGUUCUGCCACAACCAAGCAACGCUCUGCCCUUCCUUGUAUGCCCCCUGGCCCCAAGGCAGUCUGAAAACACAAGGGAGUUCUCUUGAUGGAAACUUCUUGGGAGACUGCAGGCCUGCUAUGCAAAAGUCGCUUCCCAAAAGCCAGAAAGCCAUAUGCUG
rnacentral:lncRNA from 1 species